UACGUAGGUGACAAGCGUUGUCCGGAUUUACUGGGCGUAAAGAGCGCGCAGGCGGUCGAUCAAGUCGAGUGUGAAAGCCCCCGGCUCAACUGGGGAGGGUCAUUCGAUACUGAUCGACUCGAAGGCAGGAGAGGGUAGUGGAAUUCCCAGUGUAGUGGUGAAAUACGUAGAGAUUGGGAAGAACACCAGUGGCGAAGGCGGCUAUCUGGACGGUUUCUGACGCUAAGACGCGAAAGCGUGGGGAGCAAACAGG
rnacentral:rRNA from 1 species